rnacentral:rRNA from 1 species
GUGCCAGCAGCCGCGGUAAUACGUAGGUGGCAAGCGUUGUCCGGAAUCAUUGGGCGUAAAGGGCGCGCAGGCGGUUCGGUAAGUCGGUCUUAAAAGUGCGGGGCUUAACCCCGUGAUGGGAUUGAAACUGCCGGACUGGAGUGUCGGAGAGGAAAGCAGAAUUCCUAGUGUAGCGGUGAAAUGCGUAGAUAUUAGGAGGAAUACCAGUGGCGAAAGCGGCUUUCUGGACGACAACUGACGCUGAGGCGCGAAAGCCAGGGGAGCAAACGGGAUUAGAUACCCCCGGUAGUCCUGGCCGUAAACGAUGGAUACUAGGUGUAGGAGGUAUCGACCCCUUCUGUGCCGGAGUUAACGCAAUAAGUAUCCCGCCUGGGGAGUACGGCCGCAAGGUUGAAACUCAAAGGAAUUGACGGGGGCCCGCACAAGCGGUGGAGUAUGUGGUUUAAUUCGACGCAACGCGAAGAACCUUACCAAGCCUUGACAUUGAGUGCCAGGGAUAGAGAUAUCCUGUUCUUCUUCGGAAGACGCGAAAACAGGUGGUGCACGGCUGUCGUCAG